CUUCCCUAAUUACCCCCAACUUGAGCUGAGUGCUUGUGAACCACAUCAAAACCCUGAUUUAUCAUACACGACGAUUAUUCGCACAAGUUGUCUUUCCCUCAAACAGCAAACUGUGCAGUAAAUCGUGGUGUUACUGUACAUGGUUUGCCUGGUGAAUACCAUGAUUACAAUAAUAAGUUAUGAUAAAAAUUCUUGUAACCCUUAACACAUUACGCCCACUUUGCAGUUGACGAACAGAGAAAAAAAAUCAUAUCUUGGGAUAUGCCGAUAUUGAUCGAUACAUCUGUUGAUCUUUGAAUAAGAGUUUUGGUAACUCAGCCAAUCCCUAGCUGGAACCUUUUAACCGUCUUGGUGCUGAUUCAUCAUGAUCCAAUCCUGACCUCUCCCUUCUCAUCGACUCAACUUCACAUCAGAAACUCAGCAACCGCGGCCGGAAUUUAAAUGCCGAAAUCAUUUGAAAAUUCUCGUCGAUAUGGUUGGACCAUGCGUUUGAAAAUCUAUAGAGAUUGGAGGUCGCUCCGAUUUAGUUAUUGAAAAGGAAAUGUAAAACCAAGGAGACUGAAGAAAUCCAAAGAUAGAGCCAAUAAAGACAGUCAGAGGACCAAUUUUAUAAACCUUAACAGAAAAAGGCCGUGCUGGAUGAACAGAUAUUGCUCCGCAGCUCGUUUCCUGGACCUUACUUCAUAAAAGUAUCCCCAUCCGAACCUACAGCAGAACCUCAACCUACAGCAGAACCUCAACUUCCAGCAGAACCCAAACCGUUCUAAUUGCCAUGUUAGCUGAAGAUUGUUCUAUUAUUAGAAAAUAGGCUAUAGAUGGUAGUUGGGUAUAUUUUAAUUGUUUUGGUAAUAAUGUGUAAGUAACUGAGCCGCCUACUUUAAAGGGAUUAGAUUUAAAUCUUGAAUUGUUUCAGAACCAAUUACUUCUGGGCUGCCCUGUAAAAAUUAAACGGGCGUAUAGGUUGUCUCGGCAAAGCCUCCUUAAAUUAUUGAUACACGAUCUUAAG